rnacentral:lncRNA from 9 species
AAACAUUCAAUUUUCCUUUUUCCAAAACCCUCCUUGAGAUGACCAACACACACACACACACACACACACACACACACACACACACACCCCAUAUUGCCCCAGGUCUGGUGGAGCAAGGAAGGAAGAAAUCUAGUCAUUUAUUUAGUAAGGUGCUAAUACACACACUCUUGAGAUGCCAGACUCUCCGUGGGUCCAUUUUAUUCAGGCCAAAGUUAGAAAUCACGUGCAUGUUCGACAAUAAGAGAAAAGUUAAAUGAGUAGAAAACUGUUUUCCUUAAAGAUGAUGAUGCAUUAGCAUAGCUAUUUCUAUAGAAGCAAUUUAUGUUGUUGUUAUAUUAAAAAUGGUUUAAAAACCAUGUAUACAAUAUUAUACUAAAACUGUUCUUACAAAAACUUCUAGAAAGAUAUGCAGCAAAAUUUUUAAGUAGUUUCUUUGUAGAUGGUAGGAUUAAAGGUCAUUUUUUUAAAAAAAUGCUUAUUUUUUUUCUACCAUAAUUACAUUGAAUUUAACAUACUUGUGUAAUAAACAAACAUAUCUAACAGAUUGUAACAGCUGGGCUUUCAGACAUUAACUGCAGACCUAAAUAUUUACGCAGUUAAUUUGGAGCUUGAGCGAUGCUCAUCUUUACCUAAGGAAAGCAAUACCCAUCUUCCAUCUUUUGGCACCUGACCUCAUGAUAUUGAAGUGUCUUGAGAGUCCUGUCAUCUUCCUGUAGGUCCUCUAACCAAUGCUUUUGGGGGUGACAAUGAGAUUUGUCUCUUCCAAGAGCAGGAAGAACUCCAGUCCUUCCGUGAUGUCUGUAAUUUUUUCCUCCCCACCUAUUCACACGCCAUUAGAAUGUUUUUUAUGUAAGCGGACCUCUCUUGAGACUCUCUGUGAUGGAGAAGAAUGUUUCGAGUCUCUUUUAUUUUUUUAAGUGCCAUUAGAACUCCCACUUUCUCUCCAUUCAUUUUCAUCACCGAGUCUGGAUGAUUGCUUUUCCUUUGAACCUUGCUUGAAAGCGUCCCAAUCCCUAUACAGCCGCCGCUUUACCUGGAGCCUUGGAGGUGAGCACGGUGUACGGAGGGGUCGUCUUAUUAAUCAAACGUUGACUCUGCACUGGGCAUUAAUCACGUAAACCCGCACAGCUGGAUAAGAUUCAUUAGUGUCAUCUUUCACUGCUCUUGUCUGCCUACCCCGCUCGCUCUCUGCGGUGUUCAUUAAAAUGCUACUGAUGCUUCUGUGGCUGGCUCCAUCUCACCCUCACCUCCCGUGGCCAGGUGCUGUGUUUGACCCCAGGGGAUAGGGGAAGAUCACUAAGAGGUUACCAAGCAGAACAUUUAAUUAAAGGGCCUCUGAUGGCCUCUUUGACUGAUUUCCUUUCAAAUCUGCCUGGAUCCUCUGGGGGCUUCUGUUCAGGAUGCAUGUUCUAUGCUGAGCCAGACGGCGGCCCCCAGAGGUGGAGAUGGGCCUCCUCUGACACUGAGCACUUAUAUCCUGGGGGUUUGCCAAAGGGACACACCUGUUCACCCAUCACUGCCCUCACCUGGGGACAUCCCGCUGGUGCCCAGGCCCUCCUUCUUGGUUCCCCACCAGCUCCUGCUUCAGUCUACUUGUUAAUUUCAUAUAGAGGCUAGGGGUCGAAUCGGAGCCAUAGCCACCGGCCUACGUCAGAGCCACAGCAACACGGGAUCCGAGCCUCGUCUGCAACCUACACCACAGCUCACGGCAACGCCGGAUCAUUAACCCACUGAGCAAGGGCAGGGACUGAACCCUCAACCUCAUGGUUCCUAGUCGGAUUCGUUAACCACUGCGCCACAACGGAAACUCCUGUUGUUAUUCUUUCAGCAAGUAUUUAUCAAGCAUCUACUAGGCCCCGCAGCAGUUACUGGGGAUGCAGUGCUGAGACAAAGAGCCAUGGUUUUGCCCCUGUAGGGUUUACAGUCUAGUAAAAGACAAGCAAAAGCAAAACAGAAGUAAACAAGGCAAAAUGUUCUCAAGUGUAAGAAGUGAAAUCCAGACUGCUUUGGCCAGAGCAGUGUGAAGGGGACAGUGGCAGAAGAUGACAUUGGUGAUGUGGGCAGGAACCAAAUCAUACAGGUUCUUGUAGACCAGGGUCAGGGGGUUGAGCUUUAGUCCAGGUAACGUAAGAAACCAUUGAAGUGUUUUAAGCAAUGUCGUGCACUGAUAUGAAUUACUUUUAAGAUGAUCUCCACCGCUGAGCCCAGACUACAUGGGAGCUGCUUAAGAGUGAAAGUAGCAAGACUAUUUAGGAGGCGGAUGCACGGGUCCAAGCAGUAGAUGUGGUAGCUUGGACUAAGGCAGUAGCAAUGAAGAUAGAGGUAAGAAAAUAAUUCCAAGGUAUGUUUUAGAGAGAAGUUUACAAAGACUUGCUGAUGGUCUGGCUAUGAGUGGGGAGUAGUUUUGGAGCAGGGAGGAGUCACAGUCAACUCCUCCGUUUCUGCCUUGAGUAAUUGGACAGAUGAAGGUGCCGUGUACUGUUCUGAAGAGGCAAUAGGAGAGGCAUGCGUUCCUGGUCUUUAUCUCAGACUCCCCCUAACCUGUUCAGACAGGCAUCCCAUUGUAACAGCUUCCUGGAGCCUAUCCUCAGCCUAACUCAUGGGCUACAUCCUUAAUUCAACCCAGAUUCCUGACAGUGGAGCCAUUAGACUGAUUCCCCAUAAAGGCUCUGUCCUAAAGCACAGUGUCCUGUGUGCAUGAAAGUUUGAGAGCACCUUAAUGGUUAUGUAUGCAGGUAGAGCAGUUUUCCUGUUGGAAAAGUGUUGGGUUAGUCCCCAGCCUUGCUAAGAGGUGCAUACUCUUGACCUUCACCUUAGGAAAGGAAAAAAAAAA